AUAAACCCCUUUUAAGUAUCAGGGGUUUAAAAGAAACCCAGAAAAAUUUUAUAAUAUUUUAAAAUUUUAAUUUGACUAUGUUCUUGAAACUCUUUUGUUGAGGAAGAAGAAAAGUGUCGUUGUGGCUCAUGAAACUCUUUCGCUGAGGAGGAAGAAGGUGUCGCGGUGGCUUAUGAAACUCCUUCACUCAAGGAAUUGUGGCUCAGCCUUCGGAGGAAGACGUUUUUGAUUUUAUCUUUCUCCUUGAAUUCAGUUCAGGUAAUAAACAUCGUUUUCCAUGCUUUCAAUUUCGUCAUUCUUUCGAUUUCAUCUCUUUGAUUUCGUCUCAGUUCAAUUUCGUCUCUCUGAUUUCAGCGUGUCUCUCACCGUUCUCACCUCGAAUAGGUUUAUUUAUUUAUCUCUUGAUUUUGCCCUAACUUCCCUGAUUUUGUUUUGUAGUUAUCUGGUUGUUUUGGAGUUCUACUGAUUUUCUUGACUUUCCUGAUUUUGUUUCAUCAUUGUCUUGUAUCAGUCGAAAUUGGUCUUCUUGUUUAACUAAUUGACUCAUUUAAAAAAUUAUUCUGCAUUACUAGUUCUUUUUAUUAGGAAGUUAGAAGAAAAACCAAAAUCAUCCAGACACAAAAAACACAUUAAUAACUAGCGUAGAAUGGAGUUGGCUAUAUGCCCCUAAGCAUUUCUAAAGCUAGGAGUAGUCCAAAUUCUAAGGAAGUAAACAAAAAGUAAACAAAAGAAGAAUUCUAUCUAGUAUGCUAGUUUAGAAUGAGGUGGAUAUGGAAAAGUGGGUAGUUCUCUUGUAUAAUGAUUAGGUGAUUGAAAACAUUAUUUAUCAGCUUGUGAAAUGCAGAUAACAGAUGACAUCACUUGGUUUCAUGGAUGUUGCAAGGUAUAUUCUUUCCUUUUUUUGUGUUCAGAUCAAACACUUUAUUCUUCUGUUUUUUUGUGCUCACUAGGAGUUUUUAGAUAUUGGAUAUUUUUUGUUUAGUUUAGUUAUUUUGUGCUCACUAUAAGACUAAUAUAGAAUAGUUUUCAUAAAAAAUUGCGUUGAUAUUAAUCUGACUCUAUGAUCGUGCUACUGAUUUUACUGUAUAUUUUCUGAAUUGGGACAAAACUUCUUGACAGACGAAACAAACAUAAAGGUAUGAAGGUUCUUUUUUAGGUGGUUAGUUUCUACUUUUAGUUUUAGUUUAUAUUUUAAAUUAUGUCAUAGGCAAGUAGUUUAUAUUAACUAAUAACUUUGAUUGCAGAGGGUGAUAAUAGGGAGAAAAUGAUUUUAUUGGAGUCCUUGCAAAGCUUAUAUUCUUGAGCUUGAGCAGAAGCCUUGUUAGUAUACCUAGCAACAGUAAUAUCAUGAAAUCAUUUCAGACUUUAGAUUUCUCUGGUUCAACUUACUAAUUUGUCCUUACGGUCUUUCAUUUCUUUAUCCAUGAUCUCUUUGAUUCUUUUGGACAUAGGCUUCUGCAAACCUAAUGCUAUUGGAGACUUAAUUGUGUUUAGAAAGAUUGAAUCUGUAGGAAACAAUAUGCAGGGAUGACCCCAUUCGAAGACCUAGAACUUGCAUGCCCUGUAAGACUAGCUAAGACAUGCUUUUGCAACUCUCUUUUGUUCUUGAAAUCUUUAUCUUCCUUUAUGUUGGUAUAGAUGUGUUGGAUUGGACAUUGAAAAGUGGAGGUUUGUUAACGAUAGGUAAGUCCUGCAUUCUGUCAGAUACUAGACCAAUGAAAGUAAAGUGGAGCCUUACAAUUAAGUAUCAAUAUAAAAUUAAAGUCUACUAUUUUUAUGGAUUAAAGAAUAUUAUUAAUUUUUACUUGUGGAAAUCAUGGUAGGUACUUUGUAUGUACAUUACAGGGCAUCUCAAAUCAAUAUUUCCAGAAGAGCAUCACAAAAAAAUUCCCCGCUACAUAUAUUAUCACUAGGUAUACAUGUUUAUUAAAUUUCAAGAUAUGUUUAUCAAGUGUAAAGUAAAAAGAAAGAAUUUAGUACAAAAAUCAUUAAUUUUAAGGAAGGUUUAUUCUCAGAGGUUACAAUAACCUCCCGCUAACAAAAACAGAUUUUCUCUCCUCAACAAAAGCAGUGGAUGCUAAAGUCAAAGUGAGUAAGUUGUUAAAAUGCUGACAUUUUAUGAUAAGCAAUCUGAUGCAUGAUAAUCCAACAUAGUGAGUUCUGGAUUAGGCAAUCUCUAAUUUAAAUUUAGAUGAGAGUAAAUGAUUAGUUUACUUAGCACACAUUUAAAUUUUGCACUUCAGGAACUUGGUUAAUAUAUAUAAACUUGGUUAAAGCUGAUAUUAAUGCCCAAAGUUGGUUGUCUUGAUCCGUGUGAGUAGGGGUAAAAUGAGUUUGAUUUAAGGGUAUAUUCUUUUUAGUAACUUGGUGCAUUGUUGAUGGAUAGAUAUUGAUGUAAUAAGUGAAAUCAGGACAAUUUGUAAUCUGCUAACAGUUUAAGAGUUAUUUGAAGAAUUGCUUUAUUGAAUAAAGUAGUUAGAGGUAUAGAGUGUCUGAGACCUUUUCCCUAUAUAAUACUCAUUACUGUACUGUUAACAGUAAAAUCCUUGGUUUAUGAUACUGAAUGCUGGUUGGUAAUUGAAGCUCAUUGUUUGGAUUUUUUAAUGAUAGUUCUAAAGUUAUUUAGGUCUACAAUUUGAUGUAGGUUCGUUGAGCUUCUCAACUUUCUUUAAAUGCAUAAUAUAUAUUUUCUAUCUCCCUCACGUAUAUUUUAGCCACAUGUGGCUAUCAACGUGUAUACAUACAUAUAUAUACCAGUUGCUGAUAUGUAUAAUUAAUUACAACUUUAUAUAGUUUAUGUGUUUUGAUCCUGUGGACCAUCCUAUUUAUAUAUAGCUUGAUUCAAUAUAAGAACUGGAGAAGUAGCAGGUGAAAAUACUUGACUUGGUUUAAAUCAAAGGCGCAUAGGCAAUUUGUUCCUGUAAAAAGCCUAAUUAUAAUCAACUAAUUAAUACUCGUAGCCUUAUACUAAGAAAAAUAUUUACAAUACAAUAAAAAAUAUGUAUGUAACACGAAACAAUAUUAGUUGAUAGAGUUGUUUCCAUAACUAUAGUUUUUUUGUAAAAUAAAAUAAUCAAUGUAAAUAUAUGCAUCCUGGUAUUUUGAUAUAUCGUAUUAAUAGUGUAGUCUAUAUACCAAAUCUUAUACUAUAGUAUUGUCUAUCGUAUUGUCUAUAUACCAAAUCUUAUACUAUACUAUAUGACAAUGGUAUUGUCUGUUGAACCGACAAUGUAAAACAAAAAUUAUACAUGACAACAGCUUCCAUUAUCGUAUAACAUUUGAGUCUAACUAUGUACAGUAUUUCAUGAAUUGUUCUAGAGAUAAACAUACACAUACCUGAAUAAUCCUUAAUCUGAAGGUAAGUUGAUGAAUGACGGUAUUAUUCCCUUCUGCAAUGUGGGUGUUUGCGUCCAUGGAAACCAAGCUCACGCUGAGACACUAUUUUAAGAAUUCCAAUAAGCAGAUUGACAAAUCAAUUUGAGAAACUUGUGCUCUCACAUUCACUUGCAACUCCACCAUUCGCUCCUGUGACGAGCUUGAUUCGGGUACAUGAGAAACUCAGACACUUAAUCUUUCAUUCGGAGAUAAUCUAGCCUUGCUUUCUUCAGUUAUAGGUUCUUUGGAUGGCAAAAAUGAUGUCAAACCCUGAUUCCUUUUGCUUAGUUGAUCAACUUCAGCCAUCAGAGAGCUCAAUGUGUCCUUUGCUGCUCUUAGUAUAGACGCUUUAUCUUUCUAACAAGUUGAUUUCCUUAAAUAGUCAUAUAAUGAAUGAAAUAUGACUGAAAUUUUCAUUAUUUCUCUACAAACAUAACAUUUUCUUCUUUUCAUUUUAGCUGUUUGUUAAAGUUCAAGUUACCUCACUCUUUCUUUUUCAUUUGCAGUCAGAGAAGCUCGACUAUGAGAGGCUAUGACCCACAAAUGCUUAAUGGAUUAAUGAUACUUUUUUCUUACGCUGUAAGAGAGUAUAUAAUUCAAGAAAGUUUGGAAAGAUCUUCAGCCAAUAAAACAUGUAAUCAAGUAGGUUUGGACAUGAUUAAUGAUGCAUUUGGAUAUCAUCAAUAUAAUGAUGGCAUGGGGGAUGAUAAGGAAACGAGUGGAGAGUCAAGCCAUAAAUCUUGGAGACUUUUUUCAAUUGAUGCAAGAAGGUAAUGAGAGUUUAUAUGAAGGGUGUGAUAAAUAUUCUAAACUUUCUUUCAUUACAUUGUAUUUUCUUUCAUUCUAAACUUUAUUUCAUUGUACUUUAUUUGACUUUAUACAUGAUUAGUUUUCUUUCAUUGUA